UUUUUUUUUUUUUUUUUUUUUGUCUUUUUGCCGUUUCUAGGGCCGUUCCCGCAGCAUUGGAGGUUUCUAGGCAAGGUGUCUAAUCAGAGCUGUAGCCGCCAGCCUAUACCAGAGCCACAGCAACCCGGGAUCCAAGCCGUGUCUGCAACCUAUACCACAGCUCACGGCAACGCUGAAUCCUUAAACCACUGAUCAAGGCCAGGCAUCGAACCUGCAACCUCAUGGUUCCUAGUUGGAUUCGUUAACCACAGAGCCACGACAGGAACUCCAAAACUCAGCUUUUGAAUAAUUUGGUAAUUACAUUUUUCACACUUUUUGAUGUAUUUUAUUUUUCUUUUCUGCUUUGCUUUUGAAAUUUCUUACUUUCUUAAGAGUUAUUAAACUAUUUUCUUAUAGUUUAUUAUUUCCCUGAGGUUGCAGAGUUUUGUUCAUCCUGUUUAGAAUUUCACCUGGAAUAGUUUUGAGUACAGGGUGACUUUAGAAUCUGAAUUGCUUUUUUACUCUUCAUUGCCAAUCAACUUUUCCAAUUCCAUUUAUUAAAAAAUAAUCUUUCCCCCCACUGCUCCCCAGUCGUACUGCAAUCCUAUAUCAGAUUUCUGUGCACAUGCGAACCUUGUUCUGGAUACCUUUUCUUUUCUUUUUUUUUUCCCCUUUUUUGGCCGUACCUGUGGCAUGUGGAAGUUCCCAGGCCAAGGAUUAAACCUGUACCAUAGCAGCAACCCUGGCCACUACAGUGAAAACACCAGGUCCUUAACCGGUUGUGCCACAAGGGACCAUCCCUGGAUAGUUUCUUUUGGGCAUCUGUCACAUCGUUUGGCCACCAACAUGCUUUCUAAAUCAUCCUAGCUUCUUAAUAUUUGGGAGACCAAAUAACCCAAACUUUUUUCUUCAAAGGGUUUUUUUUUCUUUUGUCCUCUUAACCUUUUAUUUUUCAUAUGCACUUUAGAAGCACCUUAUCAUGUUGCCACUAAAAACUCAUGCUAUUUUAAUAGAGUCAUUUUGAAGUAAUGCAUCAAUUUGGAGACAGCAAACAUCUUUACAAUAUUGUCUCUUUAGAGAUGACCGUCAUAUAUAUUACUUCAUUCCUUGGGUCUUCUUUAUUCACUUUCAGUAUGCUUUGUAAUUUUCUCCGUGAAGAUCUUCCAACUGUUGGCUAUGAUGAUUUUUUUUUUUAACUGUUUAGCUUGCUUUCUAGUUUUUCUUUACAUUGUAAAUAUUCUUCGAAUUUCAACACGGUGAAAAUUCCUUCACCUAGUGGAUAAAUUGAUUUGGAAUAUAACCAAAGGUCACACAGUACUAAGAUGAUACAAAAAGAGAUCCUAUUUUGGUUUAAAUUAAGGUGACACAAUACUUGCAGAAAGAAAACUUUUUUUUUUUCAUGCGGAUCAUAAACUUCUAUGUUGAAUUUCAAAAAGGAAACCCAGAUGACUCAUGAUCAUUUGGUUAAGUUAUUUGACUAAGCAGUGUUUUCUAAGGAGGAACAUCUUAGCUGGCUAUAUUAAUUUAGUAAUUUCUUAAAGAAAGAAGUCUAUUAUUCUCUAUAUAUUAUUGAAUGUUUAUUUGUAUACUUCCAUGAAUCUCGUAUAUGUUGUGGAAGAGUUUCCCAUUCUAUCCUUCAUAAGUUCUUAUGGCUAGACUAAUAAUAAAAUUGACAAAAACAGAUUGACAGGAGAAAAAGAAACAGAUUUUUAUUUGUGCAGAUGGAGGUGUCAUAGAAACAUGUGGCCAAAGCAAGCAGCUUUUAUAUUUUUAGGACAAACAAUGCAUUUGUAAGGAAUCAACAGGACAAAGAAAUUUAGGUUUUGAGUGUCCAAUUAGUGAAGAAUCUAAAUAGAAUUAGGGCUUGGGUAGUAAAUUAAAGAAGUAGCAAGUUUUGUUUAUAGAGGCUUCUUGGCUCCAAAUUCCAAUAAGGGUUUGCUUCUAACUUCAGAUGUGAAUGGUGCAACUUUCUUUUUCUUUUUUUUUUUUUUCUUUUUACAGCAACACCUGUGGCAUAUGGAAGUUCCUGGGCUAGGGAUCUAAUCCAAGCUGCAGCUGCUGUCCUACACCACAGCCACAGCAGCACAGAAUUUGAGCCAUAUCUGCACUCUAUGCCACAGCUUAUUGGAAUGCUGGAUUCUUAACACACUCAGCUAGGCCAUGGAUCAAACCCACAUUCUCAUGGAGAUGUGAGGUUCUUAACCCAUGAGCCACAAUGGGAACACCCAGUAAUGCACCUUUUUAUGUAGAAGAUGCAUUUUCUUCUUUCAGGAAUACUGAAAGGAAGCUAAGAGUGUUCCUCCUGCAUUGGUUGUUUCUUAGUAACUUCGAUUCAAAAAUAAUCAAUAUGCCAUUGAGGCAUAUUUUGGGGUCACUUACCCUGGGCUCCAACACAUACAUUUGUGAUUAUAACUUAAUAUGCCACCCCACUAUAGCUACACAUUUCUGACAUUUAUAUAUCUGAAAAUUUGACCUAACUCUGUAGUAUAUAGCUUUCUUUUUCCUGUGGUGAAAUGCUUAUAGAUUUCCUUACUUAGCUGCCAUGUAAACAGCUAAUCUCUUGUUAGCUUGCUCUCUUGGGCUGUCAAUAAUCCACAUUUGUUUACUUUUUCUCUAUGUGUCUGGGCUUCUUCUAGUUCUGAAGCCUCUAUUGGCAGAUUGAGGGAGUUUGUCACUUUUUUUCCUUCCUCUUAAUGUCACAAAUAUAUGUGACCUUUUCUUCUGUAAGUAUUAGUGACAUAAGUUUUCCAGUUACUCAAGAAUUCCCCAAACUGCCAUGGAAGUUUAGGUAAACUACUCCACUAUAUUAUCAUUGUCAUUUAAAAACUUUUGAGAUUAUUGUGGCACAAAUAUUUGUGUUCUUAGAUGUUUUUGCAUUUUGGUAUUAUAACAAUUUGAAUAUAUAUUGUUCCAGUUCAUAGUUUGCUUACUUCAUAUAUAAAAUUAACUCUAAAAUCUCUGUAUUCCACAGUCAGAGAGAUACUUGAGUCCUGAAAUACUCAAUGACCAUACUUCUCUGUAACUUUCAUACUCUUUCUAACUUCUCUUUAUUAUAAGGUAAUGGCUUUAUCAUUUCUCCCAUGCACUAAGCACUUACUCUUGGUGAUUUUCUCUUACUUUGGAUGAAUGCUCACCAUUGCAAUUUUGCAACAAAAUUAAAGAUGAGGGAAUUUUAUAUCUUAUCUGCAAUAACUAUGCAUAUGUGAACCUACCCAACCUAUACUUCAUUCUCAGAGUUAAAAUAUGAGAAUGGAGAGAUCUAAUGCCUGAUGGAUAGAGGCUUAACUUGAAUUGGUGAUAAUUUUCUGAAAGUUUUGUCCAUUGCACAAAUGCUUUUGUAGUCAUGGUAGAUAAAAUAGAAAGCCUUGGUUUAUUAUGAAGAUUGAACAUUUUUGCAAAUGUAUGUUUCUCUGCCUCUUAUAUUGAUAAUUACACAAGGCCUUCUACAAUAUCCCUUAUUAUUGUUAAUUUUCUCAAAUGUCUGUGUCUGCUUUCCCAUAUCAGGAAAGUGUAAAUUUUUCUAAAGUGGAAAUAGAGUUCAGUAAUGCAAAACCUUUCUUUUACCUUAUAAGUUUUCCCUUUCAACAUUAUGCCAACAACUUACAUCACUGCCAUAAAGAAAUCAGUGACAACUGGUACAAUAUAUACAUUUUACCUGCCAAGAAUAACCUAAUUAAAUAAAUUGUGUGGAUAAUAUUAGUUAAAUACUUUAUGUAUAUGUCCUUAUUACAAUAAUGUAUUCUCAAGAAUAAGUUGCUUUCUUUUUAUAUUAAUAUUCUAAGGGAAUACAGGGCAAAAACACAAAGAGAUGUAACUUUUUUAGUAAUUAAAAAGGCUUUAACAAACAAAAUUUAACACAUUUCUUAUUUUUUUUAUCCAUUGUUUAUCAUGAUUUGGCUCAUUUUAACUGGCAGCACUUGACAGAGAAGUCCCUCUUUUUCUCAUGCCUUACAUCUGUCUAUUAAGGAUUGCUUUGCAUAAUUAAGGGGUGUGGCUUGUUGUCAAAAUUAACUUGAAAUAUUAGCUAAAGUUGGAAAUAUUGCUGCCUGAUAUACUACAUAUUAUAGUGGAUAGACAGGUUUUUCCUACCUAUCAAUCAGCAGGUACAAAAACUCAUACAUUUUUUUGUGUUGACAAGAAGAGGUAAUCUAAUGGAUUUUUUUCAGAUGAGUCAAAAUUCAGUGCUUUUAGGGAAUUCUCAUAGUGGCUCAGUAGGUUAAGGACCCAAUGUUGUCUCUAUGAGGAUGUGGGUUGGAUCCCUGGCCCCGCUCAGUGGGUUAAGGAUCCAGCAGUGCAGCAAGCUGUCAUGUACGUUGAGAUGGCUUGGAUCUCCCUGGGUGUUGCUGUGGCUGUGGUGUAGGCCUGCAACUGCAGCUCAGAUUCAGUCCCUAGCCUGGGAGCUUCCAUAUGUCAUGGGUACCAUUAUAAAAAUAAAAAAUAAAAAUUUUAGUACUUUUCACCAGGUAGCCUGUGGAUCACUGCUUCAAAAUAAACUGAGAAAAACAUUUGAAGUACGAUUUCCAAGGACCAACUCUAGACCUGCUCCAUCAGACUCUCCAUUUUUGGAGACUAGAACAAUAUUUAAAAUAAAAUUUCUGAAGGUAAAACUAAAGUUUUGCUGAAAUUUGAGAUGACUGUCCAAUUAGAAAGAACUUGUACAUUUUUCCAGUGAUUCUAAUCCCAGCUUCAGCUGACUACAUGUGGGACCUUGGGACACUUAUUUAUUUAAACUUGGGCCUCUGCUUUCUUCUCUAUUAUGUAAUUUCUAAGUCCCUCUCAACUCUAGUUGUCUAUAGACAGAGCAUUUUGAAAGAUACUAAAGAAAAGAAGGAUAGGAAAACUAUCAAGAUGGGAAAAUUAGAGUAUAGAUUUCUUAAAAUCAAUAGGGAAAGAAAGCAAAAUAAAAAAUAAUUUUACUUUAAAAAGUUACUUUUUCAUAUUAUUUUUUCACAAAUGCCAAAACCUUUGAGAAAACCUGAAAAUACAGUGAAGUUAACUUACAUGUUUACAUAUAUACAGACUUCUUAUACUCCCUUAAAUCAUAAAUAGUAAAGAAUGACAUAUAUCACAAAAACAAACAAAAAAAA
rnacentral:lncRNA from 1 species